UUCCCAGCCGCCGCGGUAAGACGUAGGAUGCAAGCGUUAUCCGGAAUUAUUGGGCAUAAAGAGUUCGUAGGCGGUUUGUUAAGUUGGAUGUCAAAGCUUUGAGCUCAACUCAAACAAGGUAUCCAAAACUGGCAAGCUAGAGUCAGGUAGAGGCAAGUGGAAUUCUGCAUGUAGGGGUUAUAUCCGUAGAUAUGCAGAGGAACACCAAAAGCGAAGGCAGCUUGCUGGACCUGUUCUGACGCUAAAGAACGAAAGCGUGGGGAGCGAACGGGAUUAGAUACCCCGGUAGUCCACGCCCUAAACGAUGAACACUAGGUGUUGGAGGUCUCGACCCCUUCAGUGCCGACGCAAAUGCAAUAAGUGUUCCGCCUGGGUAGUACGAGCGCAAGCUUAAAACUCAAAGGAAUAGACGGGGACCCACACAAGCGGUGGAGCAUCUGGUUUAAUUCGACACUAAGCGAGGAACCUUACCAAGGCUUGACAUCCCGAGAAGAUCGCCGAAAGGUGAUUGUGCCGUUAGGAACUCGGUGACAGGUGCUGCAUGGUUGUCGUCAGCUCGUGCCUUGAGGUGUUCGGUUAAGUCCGUGAACGAGCGCAACCCUUGUCUCAAGUUGCAUAUUUCUUGAGAGACUGCCGGUUCUAAAUCGGAGGAAGGUAAGGAUGACGUCAAAUCAGCAUGGCCCUUAUGUCUUGGGCGACACAGGUGCUACAAUGGCCGGUACAAUGGGCUGCCAAGGAGCAAUCCGGAGCCAAUCCCAAAAACCGGUCCAAGUUCGGAUUGAAGGCUGCAACUCGCCUUCAUGAAGCUGGAAUCGCUAGUAACCGCGUAUCAGCCAUGGCGCGGUGAAUAUGUUCCUGGGUCUUGUACUCACCGCCCGUCAAGUCAUGAAAGAUGGGAGUGCCCGAAGCACCUUUAGCUAAUUUAGCGGGGUUCUAAGGCAAAACCAUUGAUUGGGACUAAGUCGUAACAAGGUAACCA
rnacentral:rRNA from 1 species